rnacentral:rRNA from 1 species
UACGAAGGGGGCUAGCGUUGCUCGGAAUUACUGGGCGUAAAGGGCGCGUAGGCGGAUACUUAAGUCGGGGGUGAAAGCCCAGGGCUCAACCCUGGAACAGCCUUCGAUACUGGGUAUCUUGAGUACGGGAGAGGUGUGUGGAACUCCGAGUGUAGAGGUGAAAUUCGUAGAUAUUCGGAAGAACACCAGUGGCGAAGGCGACACACUGGCCCGUUACUGACGCUGAGGCGCGAAAGCGUGGGGAGCAAACAGGG